CGAUGGUAAGGUAGUGUCUUACCAUGGUGGCAACGGGUAACGGACCGUGGGUGCGGGACUCCGGAGAGGGAGCCUGAGAAACGGCUACCACAUCCAAGGAAGGCAGCAGGCGCGUAAAUUACCCAAUCCAGACUCUGGGAGGUAGUGACAAGAAAUAUCAAUAGGGGUCCUAUAAGGUCUUCUAAUUGGAAUGAGAACAAGCUAAACAGCUUAUCGAGAAUCCAGCAGAGGGCAAGUCUGGUGCCAGCGGCCGCGGUAAUUCCAGCUCUGUAAGCGUAUACCAAAGUUGUUGCAGUUAAAACGCUCGUAGUCGGACUUUGGCAAUUCCGGAUGUGUGCGCGUCGUGCGCGCACUUUGCAGGGGUUGCUUUUGUGGGCAUGCGUGGGAUGAUGCGACUUUAUUGUCGAACGUCCCUACGCAACCACCUUUUACUGUGAGAAAAUUAGAGUGUUCAAAGCAGGCAAUUGCCGUGAAUACAUUAGCAUGGAAUAAUAGAAUAGGACUCGGUCUUAUUUUGUUGGUUUGUUAGGGCUGAGUAAUGAUUAAGAGGGACAGUUGGGGGCAUUUGUAUUCAGGCGCUAGAGGUGAAAUUCUUAGAUUGCUGGAAGACAAACUGCUGCGAAAGCGUCUGCCAAGGAUGUUUUCAUUGAUCAAGAACGAAAGUAAGGGGAUCGAAGACGAUCAGAUACCGUCGUAGUCUUUACUAUAAACGAUGAGGACUGGGGAUCGGGCGAGGAAUAUCGAUGACCCGCCCGGCACCCUCCGGGAAACCAAAG
rnacentral:rRNA from 1 species